AUUGAACGCUAGCGGCAUGCUUAACACAUGCAAGUCGAGCGGCAGCGCGGGGAAACCUGGCGGCGAGCGGCGGACGGGUGAGUAAUACGUAGGAAUCUGCCUUGUAAUGGGGGACAACCCGGGGAAACUCGGGCUAAUACCGCAUAAUCUCCAAGGAGGAAAGUAGGGGACCUUCGGGCCUUACGUUAUAAGAUGAGCCUGCGUCGGAUUAGCUAGGUGGUGGGGUAAAGGCCGACCAAGGCAACGAUCCGUAGCUGGUCUGAGAGGACGAUCAGCCGAACUGGGACUGAGACACCGCCCAGACUCCUACGGGAGGCAGCAGUGGGGAAUAGUGGACAAUCGGGGACAACCUGAUCUAGCAAUGCCGCGUGUGUGAAGAAGGCCUUCGGGUUGUAAAGCACUUUCAGUGGGGAAGAACUAAUUCAAGGUUAAUAACCUUGAGUCUUGACAUUACCUACAGAAGAAGCACCGGCAAACUCUGUGCCAGCAGCCGCAGUAA
rnacentral:rRNA from 1 species